rnacentral:rRNA from 1 species
AGAGUUUGAUCAUGGCUCAGAUUGAACGCUGGCGGCAGGCCUAACACAUGCAAGUCGAGCGGUAGCACAGAGAGCUUGCUCUCGGGUGACGAGCGGCGGACGGGUGAGUAAUGUCUGGGAAACUGCCUGAUGGAGGGGGAUAACUACUGGAAACGGUAGCUAAUACCGCAUAAUGUCGCAAGACCAAAGUGGGGGACCUUCGGGCCUCAUGCCAUCAGAUGUGCCCAGAUGGGAUUAGCUAGUAGGUGGGGUAAUGGCUCACCUAGGCGACGAUCCCUAGCUGGUCUGAGAGGAUGACCAGCCACACUGGAACUGAGACACGGUCCAGACUCCUACGGGAGGCAGCAGUGGGGAAUAUUGCACAAUGGGCGCAAGCCUGAUGCAGCCAUGCCGCGUGUGUGAAGAAGGCCUUCGGGUUGUAAAGCACUUUCAGCGGGGAGGAAGGCGGUGAGGUUAAUAACCUCACCGAUUGACGUUACCCGCAGAAGAAGCACCGGCUAACUCCGUGCCAGCAGCCGCGGUAAUACGGAGGGUGCAAGCGUUAAUCGGAAUUACUGGGCGUAAAGCGCACGCAGGCGGUCUGUCAAGUCGGAUGUGAAAUCCCCGGGCUCAACCUGGGAACUGCAUUCGAAACUGGCAGGCUAGAGUCUUGUAGAGGGGGGUAGAAUUCCAGGUGUAGCGGUGAAAUGCGUAGAGAUCUGGAGGAAUACCGGUGGCGAAGGCGGCCCCCUGGACAAAGACUGACGCUCAGGUGCGAAAGCGUGGGGAGCAAACAGGAUUAGAUACCCUGGUAGUCCACGCCGUAAACGAUGUCGAUUUGGAGGUUGUGCCCUUGAGGCGUGGCUUCCGGAGCUAACGCGUUAAAUCGACCGCCUGGGGAGUACGGCCGCAAGGUUAAAACUCAAAUGAAUUGACGGGGGCCCGCACAAGCGGUGGAGCAUGUGGUUUAAUUCGAUGCAACGCGAAGAACCUUACCUGGUCUUGACAUCCACAGAACUUAGCAGAGAUGCUUUGGUGCCUUCGGGAACUGUGAGACAGGUGCUGCAUGGCUGUCGUCAGCUCGUGUUGUGAAAUGUUGGGUUAAGUCCCGCAACGAGCGCAACCCUUAUCCUUUGUUGCCAGCGGUCCGGCCGGGAACUCAAAGGAGACUGCCAGUGAUAAACUGGAGGAAGGUGGGGAUGACGUCAAGUCAUCAUGGCCCUUACGACCAGGGCUACACACGUGCUACAAUGGCAUAUACAAAGAGAAGCGACCUCGCGAGAGCAAGCGGACCUCAUAAAGUAUGUCGUAGUCCGGAUUGGAGUCUGCAACUCGACUCCAUGAAGUCGGAAUCGCUAGUAAUCGUAGAUCAGAAUGCUACGGUGAAUACGUUCCCGGGCCUUGUACACACCGCCCGUCACACCAUGGGAGUGGGUUGCAAAAGAAGUAGGUAGCUUAACCUUCGGGAGGGCGCUUACCACUUUGUGAUUCAUGACUGGGGUGAAGUCGUAACAAGGUAACCGUAGGGGAACCUGCGGUUG